rnacentral:rRNA from 1 species
GAUGAACGCUAGCUACAGGCUUAACACAUGCAAGUCGAGGGGUAACGAGAGGAAAGCUUGCUUUCCUUGUCGACGACCGGCGCACGGGUGAGUAACGCGUAUCCAACCUGCCCCCAACUAGGGAAUAACCUUGCGAAAGGAAGACUAAUACCCUAUAAUUUCCUCAGAUGUCAUCUGACGAGGAAUAAAGAUUUAUCGGUUGUGGAUGGGGAUGCGUCUGAGUAGCUUGUUGGCGGGGUAACGGCCCACCAAGGCAACGAUCAGUAGGGGUUCUGAGAGGAAGGUCCCCCACAUUGGAACUGAGACACGGUCCAAACUCCUACGGGAGGCAGCAGUGAGGAAUAUUGGUCAAUGGGCGGAAGCCUGAACCAGCCAAGUAGCGUGCAGGGUGACGGCCCUAUGGGUUGUAAACUGCUUUUAUACAGGAAUAAAGUUAGCCUCGUGUGGUUAUUUGUAGGUACUGUAUGAAUAAGGACCGGCUAAUUCCGUGCCAGCCGCCGCCGUAA